GGGCCUCCAGACCCCUGGCGGGUCGUUACGCCUCAUCUGCACCGGCUCCGGCUUCACCUUCGGCGACUUCUCCAUGGUUUGGACACGGGAAGGGGCUGGAGUUCAUCGUGGAAGUCUGGUACGAUGGUGGGAAAAUGUACUACGUGCCGGCCGUGGAAGGACGUUUCACCAUCUCCAAGGACUUCUCCCAGAGCACGGUCACGCUGCAGAUGGACAACCUCAUGGUGACGACUCGGCCACCUACUACUGCGCCAAAGAUGCUGGUGGUGGUGGGACCCAAAUCCCAACCCCUUCUUGGAGCCGUUCCGCAAUGACUCACGUCCCGUAG